rnacentral:rRNA from 1 species
UACAGGGGGGGCAAGCGUUGUUCGGAAUUACUGGGCGUCAAGGGCUCGUAGGUGGCCAACUAAGUCAGACGUGAAAUCCCUCAGCUUAACUGGGGAACUGCGUCUGAUACUGGAUGGCUUGAGUUUGGGAGAGGGAUGCGGAAUUCCAGGUGUAGCGGUGAAAUGCGUAGAUAUCUGGAGGAACACCGGUGGCGAAGGCGGCAUCCUGGACCGACACUGACACUGAGGAGCGAAAGCCAGGGGAGCAAACGGG